GACAUCACUGGAACAUUAGGGAAGUGGAAACACAGCUGCCUGCUCUAGAGUAUGGGUUGCCUUUGUGUCUGGAAUGUGUCUGACGUCCUGAUCCCUGUGUCCAUUUCAGGGAGCCUUGGGAGGAGCCUGAGUCACUGAUGGAAUUGGACAGUGCAUGGAGAUGCUUCAGCAGGACGAGGUGCUGAAAACUCAUCCCUGUGUGACCUCAAUGUCAUUGGAGGACAGUGCGGGCUGCAGUGAGGCACGCCUUCAAAUGGGAUUGAUCCAGUCCUCGUUCCUUCACUUCCACAUGAAUGCUGAGCGGCCCAGGAUCACACCCAGUGCACCCACAACUCAGGCAAGUCCAGCAGCCAAUCCUAGGAGAGCUGGGCUACAGAACAGUCUCCCAAGUUCCAGGCUCACAAAACCUCGGUGGGGAUGGAAGCUGAGAAAGUGAGGAGGUGGCUCAGGGGAUUGCUCUUUCCUACUCAUUCCUCUCAUGUCAAACUCACCUUCUGCUGCACCACUGAGGA
rnacentral:lncRNA from 1 species